UGGGGAAUAUUGCACAAUGGGCGCAAGCCUGAUGCAGCCAUGCCGCGUGUAUGAAGAAGGCCUUCGGGUUGUAAAGUACUUUCAGCGAGGCGGAAGGCGUUGUGGUUAAUAACCGCAACGAUUGACGUUACUCGCAGAAGAAGCACCGGCUAACUCCGUGCCAGCAGCCGCGGUAAUACGGAGGGUGCAAGCGUUAAUCGGAAUUACUGGGCGUAAAGCGCACGCAGGCGGUCUGUCAAGUCGGAUGUGAAAUCCCCGGGCUCAACCUGGGAACUGCAUCCGAAACUGGCAGGCUAGAGUCUUGUAGAGGGGGGUAGAAUUCCAGGUGUAGCGGUGAAAUGCGUAGAGAUCUGGAGGAAUACCGGUGGCGAAGGCGGCCCCCUGGACAAAGACUGACGCUCAGGUGCGAAAGCGUGGGGAGCAAACA
rnacentral:rRNA from 1 species